GAGUUUGAUCGUGGCUCAGAGCGAACGCUGGCGGCAGGCUUAACACAUGCAAGUCGAGCGGUCGUAGCAAUACGGCAGCGGCAGACGGGAGAGUAACACGUGGGAACGUGCCCUUUGGUUCGGAAUAACGCAGGGAAACUUGCGCUAAUACCGGAUAAGCCCUUACGGGGAAAGAUUUAUCGCCAAAGGAGCGGCCCGCGUCUGAUUAGCUAGUUGGUGAGGUAAUGGCUCACCAAGGCAACGAUCAGUAGCUGGUCUGAGAGGAUGAUCAGCCUCACUGGGACUGAGACACGGCCCAGACUCCUACGGGAGGCAGCAGUGGGGAAUAUUGGACAAUGGGCGCAAGCCUGAUCCAGCCAUGCCGCGUGGAUGAUGAAGGCCUUAGGGUUGCAAAGUCCUUUUAACGGGGAAGAUAAUGAC
rnacentral:rRNA from 1 species